rnacentral:rRNA from 1 species
GACGUAGGGCGCGAGCGUUGUCCGGAUUUAUUGGGCGUAAAGAGCUCGUAGGCGGCUUGUCGCGUCGUCCGUGAAAACUUGGGGCUCAACCCCAAGCUUGCGGUCGAUACGGGCAGGCUAGAGUUCGGUAGGGGAGACUGGAAUUCCUGGUGUAGCGGUGAAAUGCGCAGAUAUCAGGAGGAACACCGGUGGCGAAGGCGGGUCUCUGGGCCGAUACUGACGCUGAGGAGCGAAAGCGUGGGGAGCAACAGG